CGUUUAGGGGUAAACCUGAGAAACCCGAAAGGUCGAAGGGUGAAAUUCAGUCGCGUUUCGCGUGUCGAAGUCGGGCGGUCGAGCGACGGAAGACGUUCGUUCGCGUACGUCGACCGCGCCCUCUGUUCGUCGAAUCGGCUGCGAACGCGUGCACUUUUCACCUGGUAGGACGCCGCGAUUCGUCGAGUGUCGGUCUACGGUUUUUGCGGAGGAGACCGUUUGUGUAAUUUCUCGCGAAUUUAUACGAACGGACCCGUGUUACCCGSCCGACUCGCUCGACGGUAUACGAACGGUUAAUGGCCGCUAUUCGUUAGCGUUCGACUCGAGGCAAGCACGUUAGAUACAAGUCGGCGACCGGACCUAGUGCCGAUCCCGACUUCUGACGACUGUUGGCCGCGAUGUUUUUGAACUGACCAUUAGUAUUACAAAACCGAUCAGCGACGCUAUAGCUUUGGGUACUUUCAGGACCCGUCUUGAAACACGGACCAAGGAGUCUAGCAUGUGCGCGAGUCAUUGGGACUCUUACAAAACCUAAAGGCGUAAUGAAAGUAAAGGUUUUCCUCGCGAAGACCGAGGGAAGACGGGCGGUUCGCCCUUAAAAGUGGCCGCCCCGCAUUCCCGGGGCGUCUCAUUCUCAUCGCGAGAAGAGGCGCACCAAGAGCGUACACGCUGGGACCCGAAAGAUGGUGAACUAUGCCUGGU
rnacentral:rRNA from 1 species